UACGUAGGGGGCAAGCGUUGUCCGGAAUCAUUGGGCGUAAAGAGCGCGUAGGCGGCCCGACAAGUCCGCUGUGAAAGUCAGGGGCUCAACCCUUGAAUGCCGGUGGAUACUGUCGGGCUAGAGUCCGGAAGAGGCGAGUGGAAUUCCUGGUGUAGCGGUGAAAUGCGCAGAUAUCAGGAGGAACACCGAUGGCGAAGGCAGCUCGCUGGAACGGUACUGACGCUGAGGAGCGAAAGCGUGGGGAGCAAACAGG
rnacentral:rRNA from 1 species